GCGAAGAAGAGUUUCAAUAUGGAUUCACAAGACUCUGGCCAUAUGUACUUCACUAACCUCCUAAGUAAAGAUCUUCAACUAGACCUCACUUACGGUGGGCAAAGUGGAAACUCUCCUAUGACUAUUGAUGACUCUCCACCCCUACUCCAUAA